CCUACGGGAGGCAGCAGUGGGGAAUAUUGGACAAUGGGGGGAACCCUGAUCCAGUCAUGCCGCGUGUGUGAAGAAGGCCCUCGGGUUGUAAAGCACUUUCAGUGAGGAAGAACGCCUGGUGGUUAAUACCCAUCAGGAAAGACAUCACUCACAGAAGAAGCACCGGCUAACUCCGUGCCAGCAGCCGCGGUAAUACGGAGGGUGCGAGCGUUAAUCGGAAUUACUGGGCGUAAAGCGCGCGUAGGUGGCUUGAUAAGCCGGUUGUGAAAGCCCCGGGCUCAACCUGGGAACGGCAUCCGGAACUGUCAAGCUAGAGUGCAGGAGAGGAAGGUAGAAUUCCCGGUGUAGCGGUGAAAUGCGUAGAGAUCGGGAGGAAUACCAGUGGCGAAGGCGGCCUUCUGGACUGACACUGACACUGAGGUGCGAAAGCGUGGGUAGCAAACAGGAUUAGAUACCCGUGUAGUC
rnacentral:rRNA from 1 species